CAUCAGGAAGAAAGCUUGCUUUCUUUGCUGGCGACCGGCGCACGGGUGAGUAACACGUAUCCAACCUGCCGUCUACUCUUGGACAGCCUUCUGAAAGGAAGAUUAAUACAAGAUGGCAUCAUGAGUAAGCAUUUUCGCAUGAUUAAAGGUUUACCGGUGUAAGAUGGGGAUGCGUUCCAUUAGAUAGUAGGCGGGGUAACGGCCCCACCUAGUCUUCGAUGGAUAGGGGUUCUGAGAGGAAGGUCCCCACAUUGGAACUGAGACCACGGUCCCAAACUCC
rnacentral:rRNA from 1 species